GCGUCUAAAGAGGAGCCUGCGGCAGAUUAGCUAGUUGGUAAGGUAAUGGCUUACCAAGGCUAUGAUCUGUAGCCGGCCUGAGAGGGCGGUCGGCCACACUGACACUGACAUACGGGUCAG
rnacentral:rRNA from 1 species